CUGGUCCCGAGAGUAGUGAACCAAGGCAAGGGUUUCUGUUAAUAACACAAGAACCAAUGUAAGAGCUCAGUUAAAAUAGCUAGGGUUUAUGGUCAAAAGUAGGAUUGUAAUGAGACUAGCAGUAUUGAGUAUGGGUACAAAGGCCCCUCUAGUACUCUCUCUAGAGCCCAUACUAGUCCCAGAUUCUGGAGUAGGGCUAAUCGCGUUUGUAGGAGGUUGUAGCCCAACUAGAGGGAGUAAAGAAAUGAAAGAUGCAUAAUUAACCUUACGGCAGAAAAUUAACCCCAAAGAGGACCCUUUCAUAGAAGUAAGAGAAACAUUCUUAAAGACAGAAUGGAUAAGCUGGACAGGGAGGUUGAAACAUUACUGCAAGAAUUUCCUUAUCAGUCACACAAGGGGGCCAGACUUCAAAAACUAUGCUUCAAAAUCACCAUGAGAAAUUUUAAAAUCAGGGAUUAGGACGUAGAGGCAGGUUUGGAAGUCACUAGACUGGAAGAAUGCCAACAUUUUAUUAUCUGAAAUGAGCUAUUGAAUAUAUCACAAAUAUUGCAUUAAUUAUGUUAUCUCAAGCCGAAUUACUUCCUAAAGCCCCCAUUUUGGGAUUAUUCAAUUUGUCUCCCAGAGGAAACUGGGAGAUAGCCGAUUGGGUCUAAGUCUCUGAAUAUUAUCCUAGAGGAUUGAGGUGUACUCAGUUGUUGAUUUAUUGAAUAAAUUGAUACAGAUGUUAUCAUAAAUAAUAUCUGGCAUUUUUAUAUAGAGAUAUAUAGUUUUUGAUAUAUUUAUUAUCUGGUAUAUAUAAUCAUAUAUAAUAACUGAAAUUUGUUCAGUGACAGUUACUGGUAUAUGGACACUGAUUGUCUUAUUUAACCAUCACAGUAACCCUAUGAGAGAAGUACUAUUUAUUAUCCCCAUUUCACAGAUGAGAAAGCCGAGGUUCAGUGUGCAAGUAACUUUCUUGAAAUCAACAACUAGUAAGCGAAGGAGCAGGAUUAGAAUCCAGGCAUUUUGACCACAGAAUCCCUCCUAUUUAUAUUCUACUGCCUUCUCUAUUUCCUUCUGGUGAUGUGUGCCACUCUGAAUUAGGUGACUGCCUUCUGUUACUGAACCACAACCUCCCUGAGGACAGGGACCUAGUAUCAUUCACCCCUAACUCCACAGGCCAACUACAAUCCCUAAGCAACCAUCUAGGCCCACCUCCUCGUUCUCUUAGUUACUCCAUUAGCUGGCUUGGUUCUAAGACCAAGCCGUCAUCAUUAUGAUGACAAUCAUUAUCAUCAUUAUGAUGACGAUCAUUAUCAUCAUUAUGAUGACGUAUGCUGACUUCAUAUUGGUGGUUUCACUUCAUAAUCCUGAAAGGAGAUCAUUUUCAUUCGAAGGAGAGAGAAAGGGCAGAUAAUUGGACUAGAGUUAAACUUCUCCUUUUGUCCAUAGGACAAAAAAAAUAUUUAAAUAAUAAACAAAAUUCCAAUGUUCUUUUAUUUUCUUAUUUUUGUAUUUUUAGUGGAAUACCAACUUCAUGUACACUUGGCUUAUUCACACCCAUAAAAUUCAAUGGACCACCAUCCGGACAAAAGGAUAAAAACAGAACACAUCAAGAUAAUGAAUUUUCUUCAAACUACUGAGUACAAUGAAAAAUGGAAAUAUUAUCUCAGAAAUUACAACAGAGGGAUGAAGAUAUAGCAUAUGCUGUACCUAAAAGAUACAUCAAAUGGGACAUUGGGAAUAUGGAUUGAUGAAAUUUAAUUUGCGAUUGUCCUAUAAUGCCUUUUCAUUACAGUACCACACAAAUUGAGGCAAUAAAUGUAUAUUUGAUCAAAAAA
rnacentral:lncRNA from 10 species